AAACGGCCUGAUCGAAGCUGGGGUCUUGGGAAUACCUCCAUGACCUUAGUCAAAUACAUGGCCCAGAGAAAAUUACUUAUCGACGGUCAUUGGGCGUUCGAUUUCCAUGACGCAUCAAUAACAUAUUUGAUAAGUUACAAAU